CCUACGGGAGGCAGCAGUGAGGAAUAUUGGUCAAUGGACGCAAGUCUGAACCAGCCAUGCCGCGUGCAGGAAGACGGCUCUAUGAGUUGUAAACUUCUUUUGUAGGGGAGUAAACGUAUCUACGCGUAUCUGUCUGAAAGUAUCCUACGAAUAAGCAUCGGCUAACUCCGUGCCAGCAGCCGCGGUAAUACGGAGGAUUCAAGCGUUAUCCGGAUUUAUUGGGUUUAAAGGGUGCGUAGGCGGUCGGUUAAGUUAGAGGUGAAAGCCCGAGGCUCAACCUUGGAAUUGCCUCUGAUACUGUUAGGCUAGAGAGUAGGUGAGGUAGGCGGAAUGUAUGGUGUAGCGGUGAAAUGCUUAGAGAUCAGGCAGAACACCGAUUGCGAAGGCAGCUUACCAAGCUAUAACUGACGUUGAGGCACGAAAGCGUGGGGAGCAAACAGGAUUAGAUACCCCUGUAGUC
rnacentral:rRNA from 1 species